AUUUUUCCAGUAAUUUUGUUGCCUGAUAGAAGCUUUUUCCUUUGGGACAACCAGGUAUGAAGAAGCCUUUUCCUUUGGGAUAACCAGGUAUCAAGAAAAAUCAACAACAAGCACAGAGAAGUGUUUCAAAGUCUAAGCGACCAAUAUAUUGUCUAUCAGUCCGCACGAACAGAUUUAUGAUCCGUGAAUUGAACAGUGGGCCUCCACUAGUUUGUGCUGUCUUGGCUUUGGUCCCCUCACGAAGAUCCCACAGCAACCAUAGUAGAGUCCCAGAAUAUAGCAAGGAUGAGCCUUGACCUCAGAUGGUACACAGUAAAGCAAAUGGCAACUAACUAGGGAGUGACAGAUGGAGACUGAAUGCAGUAAAGAUGGUUGACC
rnacentral:lncRNA from 1 species